rnacentral:rRNA from 1 species
AUUGAACGCUGGCGGCAGGCCUAACACAUGCAAGUCGAGCGGAGCGGCGGACGGGUGCGUAAUACCUAGGAAUCUGCCUGGUAGUGGGGGAUAACGUCCGGAAACGGGCGCUAAUACCGCAUACUAUCGGAUGCGCCUAGGUCGGAUUAGCUAGUUGGUGGGGUAAAGGCCGACCCAGGCGACGAUCCGUAACUGGUCUGAGAGGAUGAGCAGUCACACUGGAACUGAGACACGGUCCAGACUCCUACGGGAGGCAGCAGUGGGGAAUAUUGGACAAUGGGCGAAAGCCUGAUGCAGCCAUGCCGCGUGUGUGAAGAAGGUCUUCGGAUUGUAAAGCACUUUCAGUUGGGAGGCGUUACCAACAGAAUAAGCACCGGCUAACUUCGUGCCAGCAGCCGCGGUAAUUC